rnacentral:rRNA from 1 species
GAUGAACGCUGGCGGUAUGCUUAACACAUGCAAGUCGAACGGACUCUUCGGAGUUAGUGGCGGACGGGUGAGUAACGCGUGAGAAUCUGGCUUUGGGUUCGGGACAACCACUGGAAACGGUGGCUAAUACCGGAUGUGCCGAGAGGUAAAAGAGAAAUUGCCUGGAGAUGAGCUCGCGUCUGAUUAGCUAGUUGGUGAGGUAAAGGCUCACCAAGGCAGCGAUCAGUAGCUGGUCUGAGAGGAUGACCAGCCACACUGGGACUGAGACACGGCCCAGACGCCUACGGGAGGCAGCAGUGGGGAAUUGUCCGCAAUGGGCGAAAGCCUGACGGAGCAAUACCGCGUGAGGGAAGAAGGCUCUUGGGUUGUAAACCUCUUUUCUUAGGGAAGAACAAAAUGACGGUACCUAAGGAAUCAGCACCGGCUAACUCCGUG